UUGUUGAUUGCUUGUUUCCAUUUUGUGGUUCAGAGUCUGAAAUCAAGGGGUAUUUGGUUUUCUGGCUGUCACAACGAUAGCUUGGCGCCUAUUUUCACUCCUCCGCGUUCGGUGUCUGAGGUUGAACUUGAUCUUCCAUGCCAGACUCAGCAUGAUGAUAUUCCUGUGCAGAGUUUUACUCUUGAAAAAACUAAGGAAGCUUUUGAUGUUGCUAGAAACAGCAUUGAGCUUCUUUCUACUGUGUUGUCUUUUCCACAACAAGAUGUCUUGCAGGUUUAUCCAAAAGUUGCUGAAUCAUUGGCUGAGCCUGAGGAAUAUCCAAAUUUAUUUGAAGACUGGUAAGUUGCACUUGUUGUUGAAUCUAAGGCUGCAGAAACAAGGAAUGUUUACCCUCCUGCGGAGCAGUACAUUAGCCAUGCAGAUAAAUCACAUAUAUAAGCCUUGUUGAACCUUUUAGAAGCAUGCAGAUUGAAGAAGGCGAGGAGCCUCUUGAGAAUGGAGACUCUAACCAUGAGAAUGGAGAAGAGCAGUAUACAGAGGCACAGGAGGAGCAUAAUGGAGAGGAAGGAAGCCAGGAAGAGGCAGUUGUAGUGGAUGCCAAUUCCACAGAUGGUGCAGUACUCGUUAAUGGUAAUGAGGUUGAAGAAGAGUGGGGUACGAAUAAUGAAGGAGGCCCGUCAGCCUAAAAGCAAUUAGUUAGGGUGGUGUGAAAAUCAAAAUUUUGUCUCUGUGCUUUCGCCACGUCACUAGGUCCCAUCAAGACAGUCAGUUCCAGCUUCUGGGCUGUUUGUCUGAGAUGAGAUCUCUAAAGGUGGAUUCUCAAAUGAUUGUCUCUCUUCAAACAAUUCUGUAUUCUGGUUUUCCAAGGCCACCUUUGAAAGAUUUGUGUGAUCUGUUAGCACACCUGCAAUUUUGGAGAGGUUCGUCAGCCUUGAAAAAGAAAUCCUGCAAAUUGAAAGUUCAUUUCAAGAAAAUGCUUUGUCGAUGUCCAGUGCAUCUUCCGAUGAGGGAACUGCGCCACAAGCCAAUGGAAUUACAAGGAGGUUGACUAAUUCUGCAAAGGAGGUUCAAGCUUUAGCUAAGGAGGCAGCUGAAACAAUGGUUUUGGGUCAUUGAUGAGGAAGGUGUGGAGUCACUCAUAUCAGAACUUGUGAAAGGUGUAAAUGAGCCAAGGCUGCUUUGGUUUUAACACAAGAACUGUUUCCUUGUUCUUUAAAUCACAAAUUUUGACUUUUUCUUUUCCUGCAGCUUUGAGA